rnacentral:ncRNA from 12 species
AUGUAGCUCAGAGGAUAGAGCAUCAGUUUCCGACUCUGAAGGUCAAUGGUUCAAAUCCAUUCUUG